rnacentral:rRNA from 1 species
UACGGAGGAUGCAAGCGUUAUCCGGAAUGAUUGGGCGUAAAGCGUCCGCAGGUGGCUGUGUAAGUCUGCUGUCAAAGAGCGAAGCUCAACUUCGUAAAGGCAGUGGAAACUACACGGCUAGAGUGCGUUCGGGGCAGAGGGAAUUCCUGGUGUAGCGGUGAAAUGCGUAGAGAUCAGGAAGAACACCGGUGGCGAAGGCGGAUCUCUGGGCCUUACCUGACGCUCAGGCGCGAAAGCUAGGGGAGCGAACAGG